rnacentral:piRNA from 1 species
UACCAGAACUCACUGAUAAAGGUU